GAUGAACGCUGGCGGCGUGCCUAAUACAUGCAAGUCGAGCGAACAGACGAGGAUCUUGCUCCUCUGACGUUAGCGGCGGACGGGUGAGUAACACGUGUAUAACCUACCUGUAAUACUGGUAUAACUUCGGGAAACCGGAGCUAAUACCGGAUGAUAUAUUGAACCGCAUGGUUCAAUAGUGAAAUACGGUUUUGCUGUCACUUAUAGAUGGAUCCGCGCUGCAUUAGCUAGUUGGUAAGGUAACGGCUUACCAAGGCAACGAUGCGUAGCCGACCUGAGAGGGUGAUCGGCCACACUGGAACUGAGACACGGUCCAGACUCCUACGGGAGGCAGCAGUAGGGAAUCUUCCGCAAUGGGCGAAAGCCUGACGGAGCAACGCCGCGUGAGUGAUGAAGGUCUUCGGAUCGUAAAACUCUGUUAUUAGGGAAGAACAAAUGUGUAAGUAACUAUGCACGUCUUGACGGUACCUAAUCAGAAAGCCACGGCUAACUACGUG
rnacentral:rRNA from 1 species